rnacentral:rRNA from 1 species
ACGAACGCUGGCGGCGUGCUUAACACAUGCAAGUCGAACGGUAAGGCCUUUCGGGGUACACGAGUGGCGAACGGGUGAGUAACACGUGGGUGAUCUGCCCUGCACUUCGGGAUAAGCUUGGGAAACUGGGUCUAAUACCGGAUAUGACUACGCAUCGCAUGGUGUGUGGUGGAAAGCUUUUGCGGUGUGGGAUGGGCCCGCGGCCUAUCAGCUUGUUGGUGGGGUGAUGGCCUACCAAGGCGACGACGGGUAGCCG